AUUUAAAUAGCUUAUUUUAAAGCAUUGAUUUGAAGAUACUAAGAUGACUUUUUAGUCUUUAAAUA
rnacentral:tRNA from 1 species